rnacentral:rRNA from 1 species
UAGGGAAUUUUCCACAAUGGACGAAAGUCUGAUGCAGCGACGCCGCGUGAGUGAUGAAGGCCUUCGGGUCGUAAAACUCUGUGAUAGGGGAAGCGGUACCCUAUCAGAAAGGACCGGCUAACUUCGUGCCAGCAGCCGCGGUAAUACGAGGGGUCCAAGCGUUGUUCGGAAUCACUGGGCGUAAAGCGGGUGUAGGUGGCUAGGCAAGUUGGAUGUGAAAGCCCCGGGCUCAACCCGGGAAGUGCAUCCAAAACUACUUAGCUUGAGUAAGGAAGAGGAUAGGAGAAUUCUUGGUGUAGUGGUGAAAUACGUAGAUAUCAAGAGGAACACCGGUGGCGAAGGCGCCUAUCUGGUCCAUUACUGACACUCAGACCCGAAGCGUGGGUAGCAAAC